UUGUCCGCCCCGACUCCCCUGAUCUCGCCGUCCUCCUCUUUCAGAUCCUCCCCCUCCCCAUCCACGACCGCCGCCACCUCCCCAUCCAUGGCCAUCUGCCCCUAUGCGUCCCGCAACCGCCGCGACGACAUCCUCGUCCCCAGAGGCGGGGACUUCCCUUAAGGCGAACCUAGUGCACGUGGCGCCGGUACCGUUGAUGCGGGUCGGGCGGCGGUCAGAUCUGCCACGGCCAGAACCGGCGUCCUCUUCCUCCCUAUCCAGCUUCCUCCCAUGGCUGAGAAGAGGGCUUCGUCAAGGAUCCCAUGACGGAGGUCAACGUGGGAGGCUGCUUCCUCCGAUCCCAGAUCGACCAUCCGUCGAUGGAGGCCAUGAGAGCCACGUGGGCACACACAUGGCUGCGCUUCAAGCUGCAGCUCGAUAGAUGCAGGGACGCGUCCCUUCUCUUCCCGUUUAGUCCGAUCCGCCACUGCCAGCCAUUUCCGGCGCCCCUGCACCAAAGCGGUGAAGGGCACAAUGAUGAAUUCAACGCAAGAUCCUACUGGUGAUCCAACAGAUGGGAGCCCAACAGACGCAAACACAUAAGAUGCCUAAGAAAAGGACUGGCAAAUAAAAUAGGAAUCCAAACUUGCAAAAUUCUCUUUUACAGACCGCUAGUACUACUGGGACUCUAGGUACAAGGCACAAUGUAAUUGCUCCAAAUACGCUCAUACAAGUUGCAACAAUGAAUUUUCGAAUGUUUCGAGCAAUGCAGGAUCCAAAGAUUUAGCUGGAAUGGACUAUAGACCACGGACAAUUUAAUCUUUGCUCUUAAAUAGGAUGGCACAUUCAGUAUGUUGAAUGCAUGCUAAAUUAUGUUACAGUUUAUUGUGAUGGAUAUUGGGUAUGCGAACUUUGAUGUCUGAUGAAUCUACAUCAUAUAUGCAUUAUUUGAAUUUUGUAA